AAGUCGUAACAAGGUUUCCGUAGGUGAACCUGCGGAAGGAUCAUUAACACGUUUCGUUCCGAACGUUUUGACCCUCCUAUUUUCCGUGCACCCAAUCGCGUCCGGCCUCCCGAACCGCUCACUGGGUUUACUCAGUGUUGCCUGUUUGGGCGUCAUCGGGAUCAAGGAAUGAGUUUUUGUUGACUGUCUAGAAGACUUGACCGUUUUCUUUUCUGGUUUACUUACUCGUUUCUCCUGAACGGCGUUGCCACCUCACCCAAACCCUUUAAUCUAACUGAUCUGAACUUUUAGUUGAGCAUUUUGACUUCACUGUCAAAGUAAUCAACGACUUUGAACAAACAACAACUCUUAACAACGGAUAUCUUGGUUCUC
rnacentral:misc_RNA from 1 species